CACUAUGUUGUGUUCGUCGGUGCCGACCUCGCGGUUGGCUUAAAACGGGAAGCCGGUGGGAAUCCGGCGCUGCCCCGCAGCGGUAAUUGGAAACGAACGUCGUCAUUGCACUGGGGCGCCCUGCCCUGGGAAGCGACGACCAGUAGGUGGAAGGGCUGUUACUGCUCGUCCGUGUCCAGAGCCCGAAGACCUGCCGACAGCCGCGCGAAGCA
rnacentral:ncRNA from 2 species